rnacentral:rRNA from 1 species
AACGAACGCUGGCGGCAGGCCUAACACAUGCAAGUCGAACGGGUGUAGCAAUACAUCAGUGGCGCACGGGUGAGUAACACGUGGGAACGUACCCCUUACUACGGAACAACGUCGGGAAACUGACGCUAAUACCGUAUAAUGUCUUCGGACCAAAGAUUUAUCGGUGAGGGAUCGGCCCGCGUCUGAUUAGCUAGUUGGUGAGGUAAUGGCUCACCAAGGCGACGAUCAGUAGCUGGUCUUAGAGGAUGAUCAGCCACACUGGGACUGAGACACGGCCCAGACUCCUACGGGAGGCAGCAGUGAGGAAUCUUGGACAAUGGGCGCAAGCCUGAUCCAGCCAUGCCGCGUGAGUGAUGAAGGCCUUAGGGUUGUAAAGCUCUUUUGCCGGGGAUGAUAAUGACCGUACCCGGAGAAUAAGCCACGGCUAACUACGUG